UACUACAGUUCCACCCUCAAAGGAUAGAACCCGCUUGAUUUCAGAAGCUAAGUAGGAUGAAGCCUUGUUAGUUUUUGGAUGGGAGACUGCAAGGGACUAUUGGAUACUGUAUUGA
rnacentral:rRNA from 1 species